UUGGGGGCCUCCCCGCUGCAGCAGCCUUAUUCUGGAGAGGUGCAAAGGCCCACUCUCUGUUCUCACGGUUCUUCUCCAGUCGCCUGACCUUUGGCGAGGUACCAGGAUCUUCGUAUGGAGCCCAAGCUGGCCCUAGUUCAGUCUCCAAGGUGCAUCCAGGCCCAGCUUGCUCUUGCAUUUUACUGAACUGAAACCUUAAGAACUCAGGCAAACAGAAUGUGAAGACAACAGGAAGUUGGCUGUAGAUAGAGGAAGCCACUGCAAAGGUGGCGUCAGAGAGAAACCAGUGUGGUGAACUCCUGGCAUGCGCAGGUCACAAGCUUAUUAAACUUGGAUGACAGUAAACCAAUGACUAACCCGGUAAUUGAAACCACAAGCCGAAGAUCUCUAGGGCCUGUUCUCUAGGCCAGGGCCCCUCAUCUUUCCCUUAGCAGAAAGAAGCCUUUGUGGAUUCGAAACCCUCCGUGGCAACCCCACCUCCUCUCAAGGUUGUUUCCCUAGCUUGUCUGAGACUUCAUCCCAACUCCUUCCCUGUCCACUGUAAGGAUGGAGGAAAUCUAACCUUUUAGCCGAAGCACACACAGCCCAUACUCCCUCCUGUCUGACAUGUUUCCAACAGACUAAAGUUACUAAGCCCUUCCUGCCGGGAGGCGCUCAGCUUUUUCUGUUCCAUGAAACUUUGGCUUCAAGCGCUCAGAGCCGCCCAGUUCCUCAG